GGCACCAUUACAAUCAAUAAUUGCAUCGAGUGAACAAUGCAAAAUAUGGACAUGGCCUGUCAACUUUUUAUUUCUACAGCCUGUGUACUCAUGUGUUUACUUUUGAAUUUUGGAAUGUGUCAAGAUGUUUCUACAUCAGGGGAAGAUGUCUUUGACGGAUAUCGUUAUGUUGUCUACCAUGGUUUUGAUGGUGUCUACAGAACUUUCUCAGGCACACGAGCUCACUGUCAAAGCAUGGGAGGUGAUUUGCCCAUCAUCACAUCAGCUGCACAAAACGAUUUUAUUGCCUCAAAGUUAACCUCUGGGCAAGGAAACUAUUACAUUGGCUUAGAAGAUUUGGAUGGGAAUGACCAGUACAAUUGGAUUGAUGGAACGACACCUGGGUAUGUAACAAUCUUUCAACGGAAGGCAUAAUAUAACGCUGUUUUGUUCAUCUGAUACAAUGAUUAUCAGCAUUGCGAUUCUCAUUAUUAUUACUAUUGUAGUAGGCUGAUUCCGCCCCCCCCCUUAAGAUCUCAGCCGUCGAACGCGACGAAAAUCGCCACGCGUGUUACUCAUGGCAUAAUCGACAACACUAUAGGAUCAAAUUAUGAGAAACAUCUCAUUGCUUAUUGAGUAUGCUGAUUCAUACGUACAUGUAUAUCACUUUUUUUUCUUCUGUAAAUUACCCCUAAAAUGCUGAUUUUCGGUUCACAGACUCUUUAUCCAUGGCAUAAUCUAUAAAACUAUACGAUCUAAUUCUGAGAAACAUCUCAUUGCUUUUUAAGUAUGCUGAUUUAUACGUAAAAUCAAAAGUUUGCUGCAAUUAACUAAAUAAUGCCCCUUAAAUGCUGAUUUUGUGGUUCACCGACUCUUUGUAGGAAUCUGAUCAAAUGUACGUUUAAAAAAAAUCACCAUCACAUUUGUUUUCUUAUGCAUUUUAUGGUUUUGUAUUUUUACUUUUUGUUUUUCAUUGCUUUUUUCGAUGGAAAUUGUCAGGGACAGAUUUUUGACCGUAAACAUAUGAAAUUAAUUGAUUUAAUCAGUAAAAUGAAAAAUAAUGACACAUUCAUGAAUUUUGGCUAUUAUAAAAACACUAUUUGCUUUGGAUUUGUACACAAAUUCACGUUUUUGAGUAAUUUUGGGUUUGCAUGCACUUACGAAAUGUUGCGUAAUUUUGGAACCGCAUACCUGGGGGUCGCAAUGUUGGUAUUAAAAGUUGCACUAGACUUGAACUAAAAAAGUCAGAGAGCGACGCGAUCAAGACAGUUUAUUGCGAAAAAUGUCGAGGGGGGGGGUGAAUCAGUCAAGGUUAAGAGCUGAAAAUUGUUGAUAUUCCGAUCUA